CUUCCCCACACUGUGCAACUCUUCAAUUCCCCACACAUUGGUGGUGACCAAUUAUCUUUGUACAUGAGUUGGAAUGUGAUCCAUUUUUUUCUUCAAACAAAGUUACAACCACCAUAAUCACAGGCAAGCCUUGAUUGUAGUAUUUUCUUCAUAUAUUUUUGUAGUUAGAAUUUAACUUAGACAGCCCAAAUUUGGAAUAUUAAAGAAAACUGAACAUCUUGGCAAAAAAUACAGAGAUGGCCAGAAUUUUAAGUUUGUGGAGCCACCAUGUUAUCAGACAUGCUGUAACUGUUAAAUGCAUUUCACGUUUUAAAUAUGUCAGUUAGAAACAAGCUAUUUCUUUAGGUUAAAUUGAUUCAGUCAUUCUGCUUAAUUAAUUUACAAGAGACAUAUAGCAGUAUGAAAGGUUAGUGCAUUCUCAUGUGAUAUAAUUUUGUAAGAAAGCAUUUGAUUUAGCCUGUUAUAUAAGGUACAUUGUUCCUAGGAGUGUGUUUUCAUUUUGGUAUUUCUUUUUUAAAUCUUUCAUCUAAAAUAUCUAAUUAAUUACAUCAUUUUGUUAAAUGUUUAAAAUGUGCUUAAUUAUGGUAAUUCAGAUAUGUAUAUGACUGUUAGCAAUGCUGUUUAUUCUGGUAAUGGGAGGUUUGUUGCUUUGUAUGUCUUACUGUAUACUUCUCAGUAAAUGAAUGUAACUGAAAUUUAUUAUCAUUUAUUUUGUAAUGGGUAAUAUUUACAUGUUGGAACAGUAGGUAGCUUCAUGGGUUCAAAUUCCAUGUCUGGAUGUUGUUCGAGUGGAGCUUACAUUUUUUCCUGUGUACUCCAGUUUUCCCCCCACAUCCCCAAAACAUACAUGUUUGGUCUGAAACUCUGAAUUAGUGAUUUGUGGGCAUUUGCAUGAAUGGGUCUUUCAGUGGACCAACACCCUGUCUGAUGCUGGAUCAUGCUGGGAUUGGCUCUGGCCCUCCAAAGUCUUUGAAUUGGAUGGCAUUGGGCGGUUCUGAGUUCUUGAAACCUACUACCCUUGGUACAUUUAAACAAACUGAUAUAAUGUACUGUAAUUCUCAAAUAUAUAAAUGUAAGUUCUUUUAGGGCCAGAAUAGAAAUCUUCUAAAAAUCAUUAGUAUUAAGACUAAUUUUAUAGUGUUAAUGUCCACUUUUAAUGCUUUAUAGUGUUGAUUUUUCUCACACCAAUACUGUCAGCAGUUCAAUAAAUAUUUCAAAUGAUA